CCUACGGGUGGCUGCAGUGGGGAAUUUUGGACAAUGGGCGCAAGCCUGAUCCAGCCAUGCCGCGUGCGGGAAGAAGGCCUUCGGGUUGUAAACCGCUUUUGUCAGGGAAGAAACGCUUCGGGCUAAUAUCUCGAAGUAAUGACGGUACCUGAAGAAUAAGCACCGGCUAACUACGUGCCAGCAGCCGCGGUAAUACGUAGGGUGCAAGCGUUAAUCGGAAUGACUGGGCGUAAUUAUGCAAGAGGGGUUUGAAAUCCCCGGGCUCAACCUGGGAACUGCAUUUGUGACUGCAUGACUUGAGUACGGUAGAGGGGGAUGGAAUUCCGCGUGUAGCAGUGAAAUGCGUAGAUAUGCGGAGGAACACCGAUGGCGAAGGCAAUCCCCUGGACCUGUACUGACGCUCAUGCACGAAAGCGUGGGGAGCAAACAGGAUUAGAUACCCCUGUAGUC
rnacentral:rRNA from 1 species